CUUGGAAGUCCUGGGUCGGAUGAGGUGUGUCUUCCGUGAUCUGGUUCUGUCCUUUGUGCGAGACUGUGACAGUCAGAGGGGGCAAUGGUAUUAGGGCAAUCACAUAGGGUUGCCAGUCUCCUGGUACAACUGGGGCUCGUCCAGGGUAUAGUGGCCCCAAAUUGCCAGUGAAUGUAUAAAUAUUACGUGCUAAUGUGGGAGGGCUCUCUCUCUCCUGAUAACCAGGGGAGAUAUCCUUGAGAGGUAGCUGAGACCUGAAUGUCUAGUAGGAGCAGGGUGAUC